rnacentral:rRNA from 1 species
AUUGAACGCUGGCGGCAUGCCUUACACAUGCAAGUCGAACGGCAGCACGGGGCAACCUGGUGGCGAGUGGCGAACGGGUGAGUAAUGCAUCGGAACGUACCUUUCAGUGGGGGAUAACGUAGCGAAAGUUACGCUAAUACCGCAUAUUCUGUGAGCAGGAAAGCAGGGGAUCGCAAGACCUUGCGCUGAUUGAGCGGCCGAUGUCAGAUUAGCUAGUUGGUGAGGUAAAGGCCAACCAAGGCGACGAUCUGUAGCGGGCGUGAGAGGAUGAUCCGUCACACUGGAACUGAGACACAGUGCAGACUCCUACGGGGGGCAGCAGUGGGGAAUUUUGGACAAUGGGGGCAACCCUGGUCCAGCCAUGACGCGUGAGUGAAGAAGGCCUUCGGGUUGUAAAGCUCUUUCGGCCGGGAAGAAAUCGCACGGGCUAAUACCCUGUGUGGAUGACGGUACCGGAAUAAGAAGCACCGGCUAACUACGUGCCAGCAGCCGCGGUAACAC